UUUUUGAAGUGAAAACUUCUUUAGCGGCGCUUAUAAAAGUACUAUUAUUAAAGCAAUUCGUGCAAAAUUAUUCCCUAACCAUUCCAAAAUAUCAAAAAUGCACAACGUUAAUAUUCAAGUUUUCACUUCUGCCGGCACUCCCGGAGUGCAACCCUUUGUUUUUUUAUUUUCUAUUUUUAUUAAACGUAGUAGGCA